GCGCUAAUAGAUGAGCCUAAGUCGGAUUAGCUAGUUGGUGGGGUAAAGGCCUACCAAGGCGACGAUCUGUAGCGGGUCUGAGAGGAUGAUCCGCCACACUGGGACUGAGACACGGCCCAGACUCCUACGGGAGGCAGCAGUGGGGAAUAUUGGACAAUGGGGGGAACCCUGAUCCAGCCAUGCCGCGUGUGUGAAGAAGGCCUUAUGGUUGUAAAGCACUUUAAGCGAGGAGGAGGGUACUGGUAUUAAUACUACCAGGUACUGGACGUUACUCGCAGAAUAAGCACCGGCUAACUCUGUGCCAGCAGCCGCGGUAAUACAGAGGGUGCGAGCGUUAAUCGGAUUUACUGGGCGUAAAGCGUGCGUAGGCGGCUAAUUGAGUCGGAUGUGAAAUCCCCGAGCUUAACUUGGGAAUUGCAUUCGAUACUGGUUAGCUAGAGUGUGGGAGAGGAUGGUAGAAUUCCAGGUGUAGCGGUGAAAUGCGUAGAGAU
rnacentral:rRNA from 1 species